rnacentral:misc_RNA from 1 species
CUUCUUGCGUGCCAUUUGUUUACCUGAUUUUCACCAAAACAAAAAGACCCAUAAAUAAUCAAAUGCAAGUUCGCACACUCCCAGAUCACAAAAUCACCCAAAACCCACAACUACUCUUCUUCCAAAUUCCAACAAACUGUACAAAGGAAGUCUUACAUUUAAUGGAAACCAAUAAAUGACAACAAAAAACUUAUAUGAACGUAGAUUUUCAUCUUCAUUUUUUAGAGCUAUACAUGGAAAAAAUAAAAAAAACUUUAAUGCGAAAUUUCAGAAUCAAACGUAUCAUUGAAG